rnacentral:rRNA from 1 species
GACGAACGCUGGCGGCGUGCCUAACACAUGCAAAGUCGAACGGUCCGGCACUCAACCGACCCUCAGUCUAGCUGUAGGUGAAGUUGAGUGCCGGAUAGUGGCGGACGGGUGAGUAACGCGUGGGCAACCAACCCUGUACAGUGGGAUAACACCGGGAAACCGGUGCUAAUACCGGCAUGACACCUAGAUGGUGCAUACUGUUAGGUUAAAGGAUUUAACCGGUACAGGACGGGCCCGCGUCCCAUUAGCUGGUUGGUGAGGUAACGGCUCACCAAGGCGACGAUGGGUAGCCGACCUGAGAGGGUGACCGGCUACACUGGGACUGAGACACGGCCCAGACUCCUACGGGAGGCAGCAGUGGGGAAUAUUGCGCAAUGGACGGAAGUCUGACGCAGCGACGCCGCGUGAGCGACGAAGGCCUUCGGGUCGUAAAGCUCUGUUCUUGGGGACGAAGGAAAUGACGGUACCCAAGGAGAAAGCCCCGGCUAACUACGUG